ensembl:misc_RNA Y_RNA Y RNA
AAAGGCAGUGAGUUCUCUCAGCCAAUUUCUCAGCCAAUUACAGAUCAACCUUCUCGUCUACCCCGCUCACUGCUGCGCUU